rnacentral:rRNA from 1 species
GACGAACGCUGGCGGCGUGCCUAAUACAUGCAAGUAGAACGCUGAAGGAGGAGCUUGCUUCUCUGGAUGAGUUGCGAACGGGUGAGUAACGCGUAGGUAACCUGCCUGGUAGCGGGGGAUAACUAUUGGAAACGAUAGCUAAUACCGCAUAAUAGUAGAUGUUGCAUGACAUUUGCUUAAAAGGUGCAAUUGCAUCACUACCAGAUGGACCUGCGUUGUAUUAGCUAGUUGGUGGGGUAACGGCUCACCAAGGCGACGAUACAUAGCCGACCUGAGAGGGUGAUCGGCCACACUGGGACUGAGACACGGCCCAGACUCCUACGGGAGGCAGCAGUAGGGAAUCUUCGGCAAUGGACGGAAGUCUGACCGAGCAACGCCGCGUGAGUGAAGAAGGGUGUCGGAUCGUAAAGCUCUGUUGUAAGAGAAGAACGAGUGUGAGAGUGGAAAGUUCACACUGUGACGGUAUCUGACCAGAAAGGGACGGCUAACUACGUG